UUCCAUGAACAUGAGCAUAAGAGUUUUCGUCUUUUUAUCUUUCGACUUUCACUGUUCAAACCCUUUCUUUUCUUCAGGUGUAGAUUUAUCAGUAAGGGUUGGAGCAGUGGUUUCGAUUAUAUCAUCAAUGUUGUCAUGAAUAAGAGCAUAUCCUAUUUUUCUAUGCCACAUAUCAUAAUUACUGCCAUUAAAUUUGUCAAUUUUACCUAGUUCUGAUAGAACGAGUUUACUAGCUAUUCGGUAAAGAACUAAAACUAAAUUUAAUUUUAAAUAUUUGUAUAAGGUUGAUAUUUUAACAAUAAUACUAAAUAAUAAUAAAGUUAGAUAAAAAUAAAUAAAUAAAUGAACCUGAUUGUUCCGACUUGAUGAAAGAGGCUCCAAUUUGAGCGAGAUUGUCGCUUAGCGGUGUUGACCGAAGAAUCUCUUGUCGAAGUUUUGGCGUCGUUUCUGACUGGAUUUGAAGAUAAUCUGCUGCUGUUGUGGAGUUACACUGAAUAGAAAUUGCGAAGAAUUGUUCGAACAACCCAAAAUGAUUGAAAACAGAAUAUUGAAUUGUAAAGGACUAAAGUGAUCUUUUUUAAGGAUCUGCUGGUUUUGAGAACGUGGAAUAUAGGAAAAUUGGGCUUUGUAAAGAUUUGUUAAGUGAACAUGGGCCUGACUAUGAUUUAACAAAUAAAAAUGAAUGGGCUUUGAAAAUAAAAUGGUUGGGUUAUUGUGAUUUGGGCUUGGCUUUGCUUCAACAAAAAAAUAGGUGGGCUAUGGUGAAUUGCAUGUGGGCAGAGUAAAGGCUGGCUAAAAAAUGGAGAUCUAGGGCUUUGCUCCUGAGAUCGCUACUUGAUGUAGCCAGGGAACGACUGAUGAGAUACGAUCAAAGAGGAAGACCGAAAAUUGCAAGGGGGAGGCGGAUCUAUUUGUCUUCCUCGAUCCAAAUCAGAGAGCUCGCCGAGAUGAAGACUUCGGCUUCGAGGUCAAUCGCCGUCGCCGUCGCAAUCGAGACUAGGUCGAGCGGAGAUCAGAUCCCUGCCGAGUUCGUCGUUGACGUCGCCGUUGGCUCUGAUACCAGUAUUUGCUCUCAGAGAAGAAGGAAGAACAGAUUUUGAGGGGGGUUCCGCUAAUGGAUCCGCCCCAAUGAGAGAUUUUCUCUCAACAACCCUUCCACGAUCCACAAUUCUCUCUACCGAGAAUCGUUGAUUUGGUCACCAUGACCAAGUCAAGCUAACAGUUUGAGCAGAUAAAGUCAAAGCCUCCUGUUCUGCCAUUUAGGUUCUUACAGGUCAUCACUGGGGACUUGGGAGCAAAAUCAGGUGAAGGCGAGGCUCACGGUGAGCCUAACCUAGGUAAUUGGUGGAUAAGGCUUCAUAAUGGUGGAGCACAACUAGAUGCAUACAUACAUUAACGGAUACAUGUAUUGUCACGCAUGCAGGCCUGCAUAUCACGCACACACGCAUGCAUUCAUACAAAUGCACGCAUGCAUACCUACAUUAUACAUUGUCAUGCAUGCUUCUAGUAUACACAUGCAUUCAUACUCAUGCUUGUAUGCAUAAGUACAUACAAUCAUAGAAAAGGAUGUAGCAGUGUCGAGUGAUUUCUUAAAUUAGUGAAAGUUUGGCUAGCGGCGGGGUCAUGAGAAAGGUUGCAGCAAUGAAUGGACUAGUAGCUUGAUCCAAUAACUUUUUGGUCUUUUGAAGUUAAAAGACUUCAUUCUGUUUUCUAUGUUCCUGUUCGAAUUUGAUAUGUUAUAUUCAUAUUCUUCCUGGAUUCCUCAGCAAUUUAGCUUCUAGCAAAUUGUAGUAAUAUUCUUAUUAAAUCAUUGUGCCCUUAUUCCAACUUCUUGAGUAUAAAUCUAUAUUACAAGUAGCGGGCCUAACAUGAAUAGGACAACAAUUGUAGCAUGGCAGUGUUCUCAACAGUCUUAACAUGUUUAAAGGAACCUGUGAAGUUGCUAAGGAGAUUUUAAGUCUUACCUCUAGAUGAGUAGGAGGCUUUUCUAAAAUUGGCUAAAACUUUGUUGGGCUCUGAUGAUCAGUGAUCACGUAAGCAUAGGAUAAGUCACGCAACAUUUCUUACAUGUUGGCCUAAACACCAUACAGUUCUUAUUCAUUGUGAUGCAAUACUUAUAUGAGGUGAAAAACAUAAUUGUAAAUUUCAGUUUUCAUGUAGAAGGGCAAUGAACCCUUAUGCAUGUUAUUGUGAAUUGUGAAGAAGGUACUCUUUACCUUUUAUGUCGUAAUUUAAUUUAGCACCUCUGUAGAAUGUGUAGGAGGUCCCUCACAAUUAACUUUGUUUCCGUUUAUGUGCAAUAUAUUAAUUAUUAAUGUCAUGAUUACUCUAUUUUAUUAGGCUGAUGUUUUUGUUCCGUUCUUUAAAAAAAACUUUAGUGGUAGAUGUGCUCAGUUUGGAUCAUGACAUAUCUUAUACGCAUACUGGUGUUGAUCUGUAGGCAACAUAAGCAGGAGCAAUGUUUUCAAAGGACUCACAGGCACUUAAUACCUGUGCAGUUCUUUUGACAAAAUUCUGUCAUAGCAGGACUGAUAAAGUUACUCAGGGUGCUUAGGUUCAAUGGGAAAUUCAACUACUUGUCUUUGAAAUAUGGAAGGUAAGCCUGUGUGUAUCGUGGAGGUUUGACAUCCUUGUAAUAAAUUAUUCUCUAUAAGAAUGCUCUGAUAUCCUAGUGAGUAUAUUGUGUUAUUUGGUUAGCUUUCUUGUUAAAUCAAGUUACGCUUAUCUAUUAA